rnacentral:rRNA from 1 species
GCAGAUCCAAUUUUCUGCCACCGAAUACAUUAGCAUGGGAUAAUGGAAUAGGACCCUGUCCUCCUAUUUUCAGUUGGUUUUGGCAGCGCGAGGACUAGGGUAAUGAUUAAUAGGGAUAGUUGGGGGCAUUAAUAUUUAAUUGUCAGAGGUGAAAUUCUUGGAUUUAUGAAAGAUUAACUUCUGCGAAAGCAUCUGCCAAGGAUGUUUUCAUUAAUCAAGAACGAAAGUUAGGGGAUCGAAGACGAUCAGAUACCGUCGUAGUCUUAACCAUAAACGAUGCCGACCAGCGAUUAGGAGACGUUGAAUACAAAACACCACCAUCGGCGCGGUCGUCCCUGGCUCGUCGUCUCACGACGGCGGGCGGGGGCGGCUUAGCCCGAUGGCACCGGUGAAUGACUCCCCUAGCAGCUUGUGA